UCUUAUUCAGCUGUGCUUUCCUGAACAUGCCUGAUCUAAUUUGAUCUUUGGAGCGAAGCAGCAUUGAGCCUGGUCAAUCAUUGGACAGGAAACUACCUGGGAGCACCUGGUGUUGUAAGUC
rnacentral:rRNA from 1 species